rnacentral:rRNA from 1 species
AGUGAACGCUGGCGGUAGGCCUAACACAUGCAAGUCGAACGGCAGCACAGUAAGAGCUUGCUCUUACGGGUGGCGAGUGGCGGACGGGUGAGGAAUACAUCGGAAUCUACUUUUUCGUGGGGGAUAACGUAGGGAAACUUACGCUAAUACCGCAUACGACCUACGGGUGAAAGCAGGGGAUCUUCGGACCUUGCGCGAUUGAAUGAGUCGAUGUCGGAUUAGCUAGUUGGCGGGGUAAAGGCCCACCAAGGCGACGAUCCGUAGCUGGUCUGAGAGGAUGAUCAGCCACACUGGAACUGAGACACGGUCCAGACUCCUACGGGAGGCAGCAGUGGGGAAUAUUGGACAAUGGGCGCAAGCCUGAUCCAGCCAUACCGCGUGGGUGAAGAAGGCCUUCGGGUUGUAAAGCCCUUUUGUUGGGAAAGAAAAGCAGCAGGUUAAUACCCCGCUGCUCUGACGGUACCCAAAGAAUAAGCACCGGCUAACUUCGUG